rnacentral:rRNA from 1 species
ACGACGGGUAGCCGGCCUGAGAGGGCGACCGGCCACACUGGGACUGAGACACGGCCCAGACUCCUACGGGAGGCAGCAGUGGGGAAUAUUGCACAAUGGGCGAAAGCCUGAUGCAGCGACGCCGCGUGAGGGAUGACGGCCUUCGGGUUGUAAACCUCUUUCAGCAGGGAAGAAGCGAAAGUGACGGUACCUGCAGAAGAAGCGCCGGCUAACUACGUGCCAGCAGCCGCGGUAAUACGUAGGGCGCAAGCGUUGUCCGGAAUUAUUGGGCGUAAAGAGCUCGUAGGCGGCUUGUCACGUCGGAUGUGAAAGCCCGGGGCUUAACCCCGGGUCUGCAUUCGAUACGGGCUAGCUAGAGUGUGGUAGGGGAGAUCGGAAUUCCUGGUGUAGCGGUGAAAUGCGCAGAUAUCAGGAGGAACACCGGUGGCGAAGGCGGAUCUCUGGGCCAUUACUGACGCUGAGGAGCGAAAGCGUGGGGAGCGAACAGGAUUAGAUACCCUGGUAGUCCACGCCGUAAACGUUGGGAACUAGGUGUUGGCGACAUUCCACGUCGUCGGUGCCGCAGCUAACGCAUUAAGUUCCCCGCC